CCCCGCCCACUACACUUCCGGUUCCGGGCUGAAAUCGGAAACAGGAGGAGGGCCGUAAACUCCGGGGUAGGGGAGGGGAGAAUUUUGUGACUUGGAAAGAAAAGGAGGGACAGGUUGGGGGUGGGGUGGAGUAAGCUAAGAAGCAAGCUUGGACCUCUAGAACAAAUUUCGCGAGACCUUUAUUACAGGGCCUCAGCAACCGGAUGAUACCGCGAGAGAGGACGCCUGACGUAAUUAAAGUGCGCGAACGGAAGUGGCGCGGAACAUGACGGAAAAUCAGUACGGUUGGUCCCUUAAGGACCAGCGGGAAAGAUAAAAGCUGGGGUUUAGUCUGUGCUGCGUGAAAUAUGUCUUGGCAUCACUUCCUCUCCUCUGAGCUGCCUGCAGACGGGCGAGGUGGUGUUGAACUGUGUUUUUUGUGACGAAGCUUACUUUUAAGUUUCAUCCCUAAACUAAGUUGACCUGUUUCUUUAAGACGGCUUGCAAAAUGUGUUUUCCUCAAUGUGGGAUAUGGAAAGAAGCAGUUGCUCCUGUUACUUUGAGCUAGUACCUGACGCUAUGAGAAAUUCUAAAAGAGCGAAUCAGAUCAUGCAACAUGAAUAACUAUAGAGGCUGAGUGAUCAAGAACAGAAGUUAAUAUUUUGGUGUUACAAACUUUCCACGGAUUAGGUGAAUAAGAUAUUUAUAAUUUGGUGUGUUCAUCUCAAGUUAUGGAUUACGAGUGCGGGGCACUAGUGCUUUAGAUUGGUAAAUGAAUCAACAGUCGCCUUGAAAAUCAAAUAUUUUUGUCACCAUUUUCAGGACAUGAGAAAAUACGCUGAGAGUUUAAAGCAAUUAUGGUCCUCACAAACUAGAUCAAUCUGUCCCCAAGAUGGUCAGUAUUGCUCAUGUUGUACUACCAGCACAAGUUUCAGUUUUAAACUAACUGUUGAAUUUUAUAUAGUCCGUUUGACAUAAAGCCUAACUGUGGAAAAUUUGAGUUAGAGAUGAAGAUUUAAGGACCAAGAAUGGAUUCCUGCGAAUGUCCAAUUCUAAGUUUCAGUAAGAGACUGAAAGGGGGAAGUGAGGAAAAUAGUAAUUGGAAUGUCACCAGAGGAGAGCUUUCCAAUGAAGAAGUAGCCAACCAAGUAUAUGCUGUAUAGAAUUAUGUUAAACACAUUUGGGAUUGCAAAUAGAUCAUUGGAUUUGACCAUCAAGAAGUUACAAACUCCUGGGAAAGAUUCUCUCACUUUUUAUUCGUAGUUCUAGUGACACGCAGUGACAGUUUGAUGAGUGGAUAAAAAAAUGAAAGAAGCGAUAAUUUCUUUUCACUGUACACUCUCUCUUUGCAUGCUCUUACCCAAGGUCUCUGUUUCUCAAACUAUUUUUAUAAUGAUGACUCCUAAUCUCCAAAUACUCAAGAUUUUUCCUGAAUUCUGGACCUAUUGGUCAUCUCUACUUAGACAAACACCUAAACUUCAAGAUACCACGGCAAAUUCAAAAGUUGUCACCCACCACAAAUAUAUUCCUAUGUUAUUUUCCUAUGUCACUUAAGGAUGCCAUCACCCAGUUGGUUGUCCAAGUGAGAAAUCAGGGCAUGUGAAAUGAUGCGUGGUGCACUGAUACCCAAUAGAAGCUGAUUUAAUCGGCGGGACAGUCAUUUUCACCUGUCAUUCCCCUUGCAUUUCCAAACAAGGAUGGUCACUUCUUACCUUGUGCUAUAACUCUGCAGGUCUAUAUCCGAUUUCCUUUUAACACCUUGACCUUGCUGCCAGUUUUUGCCCCCUGUGGAGGUGUUACUGCCUCCAUUGAGAAUGCAUGUACUAGCAGUUUCGUUUUUCACAUGACACAUCACAAAGUACAACAGAGAGCAUCUCUUGGUAGCCAUCUCAGAAGAGCAGUUAAACAUUCUUUUUCAAAAGCCUUGUGUACUCCUACUUCCAUAAAAAAACUAUAAAACAGCCUCAGGCAGGUCCUUCAGGAGGUAUUCCAGAAGAAGGCAUUGUUAUCAUAAGAGAUGACUGCUCCAUGCGUGUUAUUGCCCCUGAAGACUUUCUGGUGGGACAAGAUGUGGAGGUGGAAGAUAGUGAUGUUGAUGAUCCUGACCCUGUGUAGGUAGACCUAGGCCAACAUAUGUUUGUCUUACUUUUUAGCCAAAACGUUUAAAAACUACAAAAAAAUAAACAGAAAAAAGUGUAUAGAAUAAGGAUCCAAAUAAAAUACUUUUGUACAGCU